rnacentral:rRNA from 1 species
GAUGAACGCUGGCGGCGUGCCUAAUACAUGCAAGUCGAGCGAACGGACGAGAAGCUUGCUUCUCUGAUGUUAGCGGCGGACGGGUGAGUAACACGUGGAUAACCUACCUAUAAGACUGGGAUCACUUCGGGAAACCGGAGCUAAUACCGGAUAAUAUUUUGAACCGCAUGGUUCAAAAGUGAAAGACGGCCUUGCUGUCUCUUAUAGAUGGAUCCGCGCUGCAUUGGCUAGUUGGUACGGUAACGGCUUACCACGGCAACGAUGCAUAGCCGACCUGAGAGAGUGAUAGGCCACACUGGAACGGAGACACGGUCCAGACGCCUACGGGAGGCAGCAGUAUGGAAUCUUCCGCAGUGGGCGAAAGCCUUGCGGAGCAACGCCGCGUGAGUUGUGAAGGUCUUCGGAUCGUAAAACUCUGUUAUUAGGGAAGAACAUAUGUGUAAGGAACUGUACACAUCUUGACGGUACCUAAUCAGAAAGCCACGGCUAACUACGUG